rnacentral:lncRNA from 1 species
AAUGAAGCAAGUGGUGGUGUUAUAGUGAAUAAAACAUCUCGACAAGCUAGAGAAUUGAUAGUGAUCAUGGCAGCCAUUUCCUAGUGAUUCGGUUCCACUCGGGACACCUCUCAGAGAGUGAAUGAGUUAAGUAUCUCUUCCCUUGAGUUUUAAAUUUCUGAAUUAACUCAUUUGGUGAGGAAUAUGACUGUUGGGAAUAACCCUCGAGCAAGGGUUUAUGGAAUUUGUGCACAUCUUGGACAUCCUACAGACAUGUGUCCUACACUUCAA